GAAUUGCGAAAAUUGUUGCGAAUCGCAGCGCGUGAGUCAUCAAGUUUUUGAACGCACAUUGCACCUUUUUCUCGGAAAAGGUAUGCCUGUUUGAGCUUCAGUUUU
rnacentral:rRNA from 1 species